rnacentral:rRNA from 1 species
ACAUGUGGUUUAAUUCGAUGAUACGCGAGGAACCUUACCUGGGCUUAAAUGUAGACUGAUUUCCACCGAAAGGUGGUUUCCCUUCGGGGCAGACUGCAAGGUGCUGCAUGGUUGUCGUCAGCUCGUGCCGUGAGGUGUCGGGUUAAGUCCCAUAACGAGCGCAACCCCUAUCGUUAGUUGCCAGCGAGUAAUGUCGGGGACUCUAGCGAAACUGCCGGUGUAAACCGUGAGGAAGGUGGGGAUGACGUCAAAUCAGCACGGCCCUUAUGUCCAGGGCUACACACGUGUUACAAUGGCCGAUACAGAGGGCAGCUACCUGGUAACAGGUUGCAAAUCUCGAAAACCGGUCUUAGUUCGGAUCGGAGUCNGCAACUCGACUUCGUGAAGCUGGAUUCGCUAGUAAUCGCGCAUCAACCAUGGCGCGGUGAAUACGUUCCCGGGCCUUGUACACACC